UUAAUUUUUUUCUACCCAUCAGAAAAAUGAAGGAUAUUUAGGGCCACAAAAUCUAUUAAACUAUUUUCAUGUCUGUUUGUUUGUUUUUUAACGGGGGAAGGUCCUAAAAAGGCAGAAGUGCCUAGGGCCCACAAAAGUCAUUGUGUGGUCCUGGCGUUGAAAGAAUAAGUAAACAAAUGAGUAAUUAUAAUGACUGUUAAAAAAUGCUUUACAAAUGACAAAAUGCCAGGAAAACGCAGCUUAUUAUUAAAAGCUGACAAUUUUAUUGCUGUUGUAAAGUUCUCUUGCCCGUUAGGACAUUAUACUCUAAGGAGUUUCAAUUAUUUCUCCAAAUUGAAAGGUUUUCUUAGAUUCAUACUCUUUCUUGCUGUGAAAGAAAAGCUUUAAGUGGCGUUAUGUGAGAAAUAUUUUCAUGUGGACGGGGGAGGGGAAGUGAAGGCACAGAAUAUAAAGGCUCUGCUAAUCAGAAGAGCUAUUCCCAUACACCACACCUCAAAGGAACUCCCUGUUUGAAAAGAUGAGUUUCCACAGAAGGUACACCAAGGUGACUGUUGUUUUUACCAAAAAAAAAAAAAAAGGGGUGGGGGGGGAUCCCUGGGCCUUAACCUUCAUCUAAGUAUUAUCAAUAUCCCACAACCUUGGCUCACCUCUGAGAAAAGUGAAGUCAUGUACUUCAGAUGUGACCUGGUGGUACAUUCUAUUCUUUGAGUCGGUUGAUGACAAAUGAAUCCUACGGUUUCUCUCUCGGAAAAUAUAAACAGACGGGACACUGGUGUCCAGGAUAUCUUCAAAGGGACACUAAGAAUGUUCUGACCUGAAUAUGACUUAAGGAGAUGAUACUCAAUAUGAACUUCCUCAUAUUACCAAGCAGCUACAUCCUUAUUCUGCAAUCUUGAAGGGUCUAAUUCAUAUCAGAAACAAACUUCACUUUCUGAAAUUAUUCUCAGUAGAAUCACUUUAUUUAUUUUUAUUAUUAUUUUUUCUUUCGAGAGAGAGCUUAUGAGCUGGCGAGAGCAAGAGAAUCUUAAGCAGCCUCCAUAUGGAGCCUGAUGCAGGGCUCAGUCCCACGAUCCUGGGAUCAGGACCUGAGUGGAAAUCAAAGGUUAGAUGCUCAACCGACUGAGCCAACCAGGCGUCCCAGUAGAGUUUCCUUAAAAUACAACAGGAGAUUUAGAGAUGCUAGAUGGCUUCCUGGAGUUUGCCCAAGCAGCCGGGCCCCUGGGCCCCCACACUGAAUCGUUUUACCACACGGAAUCUCCAUGUUCAGGAGGGCACCCCCAGCCUGUUUGUCGAGAAUGGAUAUAACAGCAACAGAGAGGCUGGUGACAGAGAAUAGAGGUGAGGUGACAUGUGAGGUUGGGGUGGGAACACAGAAGAGCCUCUGGGGAGCGUGGAAGAAAGAGAAAGGGGACAGCCUCCGUGCUUUACGGAGCAAUAGGAGCUAACACAGCUUUACAGGGCACAAGAAGAGGAAGCAACUCAGAAAAUAGACAAGGCAGAAAGUUUUAACAGAACCAUGGGGACAGAGGAAAGGGGACAAUAAAAGUGGACAGAAAGAGAAGAAGGUGAACAAAUUGUGAAAAAAGCUGUGGUAUAAAUGCCCACGAAAGUCCAAGACCACCAGCUCCUGGAAGACCAGCGUUGGGUGUGCAAGGUGACAGGUCGCCUCUCGCCCUAAGCCUCCCAGGGCUCCGUGCAGAUGGCCACAGGCAGACCCCUCUCUGUGGGGAUGACGCACACGUGAGGAUUGUAAGACGAGGCCCUUGGGGCUCUGUUCACAAUAAAAACAUUGUACAGGCUUUCUA